rnacentral:lncRNA from 13 species
GCGGGGCCGGCGCGAGCUCCCGGCGCGCUCCGCUGCACGACGGGACUUGUAGUCCUCCAGUAUCGUCGUGGGCGGGGCCGCCCCGGAGGCGGGACGGGAAAGCUCCUGCGCGACUCUUUAGCGGCAACUUAAGAUCAGCAACGAGAGCUUUUGUAAAUUCCCCUGUCUUUCCGCACCACUCUUGUUCUCGCAGCCAGUAUUGAGAAGUAAGCGAUAGAGAACUGAUACCGGUCCUGAUAAACAGUUGAAUAGAUGGCGUCGGGAGCUACCUCUUCCUGCUCAUUUCCUGCCAAUCUUAGUGUUUGAUCCCUGGCUUAAGUUAUUUCUUCUGCCUGGAUUGCUGUCCGGCCUUGUUUGCUGAGCUCAUCCUUCAAGAUGAGUUGCAGAUCACCUCUUCUGGGAGCGUCCAUAGGUCCACAGGUUAACAUUGUCCUCUCAUUAUCUAUUUCAUUGUUGGAUCUGAAGUCUCCGCAAAUCACGCUGUGGGAUCUGUGGCUAUGCUCUGUACACCGUGGACGUGACUACAAUGAUGGAGUCCCGCUCUGUCACCCAGCCUGGAGUGCGGUGGCGCAGUCUUGGCUCACUGCAACCUCUGCUUCCUGGUCAAGCAAUUCUCCUGCCUCAGCUUUCUGA